GACGAACCGUGCGAACGUUAUUCGGAAUCACUGGGCUUAAAGCGCGUGUAGGCGGGAGGGUACGUCCGUCGCUGAAAUCCCCCGGCUCAACCGGGGAACGGGCGCGGAUACGACCUUCCUGGAGGGGCGUAGGGGGACCUGGAACUUCCGGUGGAGCGGUGAAAUGCGUUGAGAUCGGAAGGAACGCCCGUGGCGAAAGCGAGGUCCUGGACGCCUACUGACGCUGAGACGCGAAAGCUAGGGGAGCAAACAGG
rnacentral:rRNA from 1 species